GAUGAACGCUGGCGGCGUGCCUAAUACAUGCAAGUCGAGCGAACGGACGAGAAGCUUGCUUCUCUGAUGUUAGCGGCGGACGGGUGAGUAACACGUGGAUAACCUACCUAUAAGACUGGGAUAACUUCGGGAAACCGUAGCUAAUACCGGAUAAUAUUUUGAACCGCAUGGUUCAAAAGUGAAAGACGGUCUUUCUGUCACUUAUAGAUGGAUCCGCGCUGCAUUAGCUAGUUGGUAAGGUAACGGCUUACCAAGGCAACGAUGCAUAGCCGACCUGAGAGGGUGAUCGGCCACACUGGAACUGAGACACGGACCAGACGCCUACGGGAGGCAGCAGUAGGGAAUCUUCCGCAAUGGGCGAAAGCCUGACGGAGCAACGCCGCGUGAGUGAUGAAGGUCUUCGGAUCGUAAAACUCUGUUAUUAGGGAAGAACAUAUGUGUAAGUAACUGUGCACAGCGUGACGGUACCUAAUCAGAAAGCCACGGCUAACUACGUG
rnacentral:rRNA from 1 species